CAGAGUUCAUGCCUAACGGGUAGACCUCCCACCCUUGUGUAUUUAUACCAUGUUGCUUUGGCGGGUUGCACUUCUAAAGUGCUUCAGGCUCGCUCGCCCGCCGAAGGAUAACCAAACUCUGUUUAUUAAUGUCGUCUGAGUACUAUACAAUAGUUAA
rnacentral:rRNA from 1 species